UAUAUAUAUAUAUAUGUAUAUAUACCUAUAUAUUUCGAUAACACUAAUAGUCUCUGUUUUCUCUUUCUUCACUAAUUUCUUCUGGAAAGAGAUCAAAUUCAUUUAACAGAUUCAAAAACUUUUUGAACUUCUACUUAUUGCCCUUUUAUCUCCGAGAAUUAGGAAGAUUCAAAAAUAGUUUUUCUCGAAGUACAAAGUCGGGAGAACUUGUUACUCUUUUUUUUUUUUUUGUUUAUUUUUUCUUUUUCUUUUUUUUCUUUUUUAAGGUUUCUCAGACGCAGUGCAGUUCGUUUCUAUUUCCUUCCAUGAUAUUACUAUUAUCAUUGGCAGGUGACGAUCCUAAUCGAUGAUCGGCAAAAGACCGGUCCGUAAGAAUGAUUUGAUAAAGAGAAAGAUAGAGAGAGAGAGAGAGAGAGAGAGAGAGAGAGAGAGAGAGAGAGAAAGAGAUAGAAAGAAGGAUCAAAGGAGAUACACUCGGUGGCUCACGUAGAAGAAUAUACUAGGUGUCGCUCUGCAUGCCGAUCCGCGGAAACCGGUUAACGAGUUCCACUCGCGAGUUCCAGCCUCCGUUGGCUCGCCUUUCGACUGUCAACUCGGCCGGAUCCACCGCUUCUGGCUCCUGCUCUUGCUCGAGAGCACUCUAUCUCUCUUUCUCUCUUUCUCCACCUGAAAGAAAGAGAGAGAGAGAGAGGAAGAGAGAGAGGAAGAGAGAGAAAGAGAGAGAGAGAGAGAGAGAGAGAGAGAGAAAGAGAAAGAGAAAGAGAGAUCUCCUUUUUCUCUUUUUCCCCCACUCGCACGUUUUUCCCGUCGCAGGAUGCAGAAGGAGAAGGCGCGUUUUUCCGUUCGAGUUGAUUCACCUUCCUCUUCGCUUUAAGGCCUCCUUGCUACGGGCAGAUGUAGGGGAGCGGUAUCGCGAUCCUCGAGGCUCCGCCGUCCUUUUUUCGCGAAUAUACGCCGAUCAUAAUUUCUUCGCGAUCGGAAAUAUUCCUUGUCCUUAAAAUCCACACACACGUGUUUUUCAUCUGUAUAAAGUAUAUAUAAUAUCGUUUAAGACACUUUUUGUCUUUCAACUACGUAUGUUCGUAAGUUCCUUCAAGAAUUUGAUGAUUCUUCCUCAUUGUAAUUUCCCUUGAUCGUUGAUAAUAUCAAAAACACUUAUCGAACUCUCGCACAUUUUAACUAGAUACUUAUAAUAAAUAGAUUGAUCAAACUUCGAGCACUAUUAAUUGAAUAUCCCGGCAUCGAAGUCGCCGAAGUCAAGUUCUUAGUCCACCUUUUUUCACGAGAACUAUCUUUGAAAUACGCCGAGAGGAUAGAAGGAGAGAAAGAGAGAGAGAGAGAGAAAGAAAGAGAGAAAGAGAGAGAGAGAGAGAAAGAAAGAGAGAAAGAGAGAGAGAGAGAGAGAGAGAGGAGGAGGGAGAGAGAAAAGAGAGAGAGAAAGAAAGAGGGAAAUCGGCUUUCUAGCCGGUCGUAGCGGCUACAGCGAUACCUUCUCGGUACGUGAAGAGAGAGAGAACUGAAGUCUCCAAAGAGGAGGCAAGCAGGCAAGCAGGCAAGCAGGCAAGCAGGCAGGCAAGCAAGCAAGCAAGCAAGCAAGCAAGCAAGCAAGCAGGCAGGCAGGCAAGUAGGCAGGCAGGCAAGCAGGCAGGCAGGCAGCAGGCAGGCAGGCAUCGAGGAAGGAACCAGCCAGCCCACACGGCGUUCACGUCUUCUCCCCUCAACCUUCUCCUCUUUCUCCCCACUCCUCCCCCACCAAGGCGCGAAACCGAGCGGACCGACCGACCGACCGACCUCUUCUCUCUCCGACCGCUUUCUUGCUCCAACUGCGGCAUUGAACACGUUCAACGGCAGCUGGCGAAUACCCGACGUCUUCCGUCCUUCUUACUCUCUUGCUAGAUUCUCUGUUUCUCUCUCUCUCUCUCUCUCUCUCUCUCUCUUUCUCUCUCUUUCUCAUACUCGUGUUCGUGAAGAGAAGCAUCGCGCCGAUCGCAUGAGUUUGCGAUUCGCGUUCUUUGACCUCCCUCCGGCAUGAACUACCCUUUGGCGCUACGUACCUCGACGUAGAGACGUCGUUGAGAAGAGAACGACUUUGCCUUUCGCAACGACUCCACAGUAUUUCCGGGGAAAUUUGUCUUUCUGUGAUAUCGUAUAUCAUCCAGGUCGAAGCGAAUAAAUGGCGAACGGCGAAAGACGUGUUAGUCUUCGAGAAGAUCUCAAGGAAUAACGAUGGAAACGAUAACCGAAGAUAACUCAUGAGAAAACAAUUAAUACAGAUAAACCGAAGCAUUUUGGUGUCCGUUCGUGAAUGUAAAUUAUACGACGCGUGUCGUCGAUGAUCGUGGUGAAAGCAUCAAUAGUGACGAGCAUUCUGUGGUCUGACCUCGCAUCGAUAUAGCAUACUAUAGAACCAAUCGGUCAUAUCUUGCGUUCCAAUGUUCCUUGGAGUUUGGUAAUAUCGUUGAUGGAAUCAGGAGAAUAUCAUUCUAAAUUUAGAAUUCUAACAUUUAAAUUCAUAAAUUUAGAAAUCUGACAUUUAGUAUCUAGAAUUCUAAUAUGUCAGGACCUCAAGUAUUUUAAUACUAUAGUUUCUAUUGCGAUGAUCCAAAACGAAUCGGCCCACUUUAACUUCGUUCUCGUUAUUAACAAUACUAUAAUUAUUUUUUAACGAGUAUAACGAAUAUAAGAAAAACAACGGAACACGGAUAAUUAUUUUCGUUUGGUUCGUCUUUCUACGAGAAAUAUGAGAAUACGAGUAUAGCAAUGUCGACGUAGGUUAGUUGAUAUUCUGUAUAUAUUAUUUUUGUGAAAAUUGCAGGUUGCUUGUUGCUGUUGACUCAAAUUACCAUCAUUCUAUGAGAAAGAUAAAUACAGUCGGAUAAAGAAAUAUUUAAAGAUUUUUUAAAAUUGAAACAUCCUUUCUCAGAUCAUACAAAGAGUAUUCUGAAUUGUUGAUUGGGUUAUAUGAAAUAUGUAAAUAAUUAAAAAGAAAUCUUUUAAUUUUUGUGAAAUAUAAUUAUAACGAUAAGAAAUAUAAAAAUAUACUUUUUAUAGUUUAUUUAAAUAUUUGAACGUUCUUUCAAGGAUCAUUAAAUUGAUAGGAAAAUGAUAAAGUUUUACGAUAUAAUGACGAUAUAAUAAUUUUGCAGUAGCAUAUCUCUUGGCAUAUUACACGCAUUAUGCUUGAUAUUUCGGUACAUGUGCUCGCACACUAACGCAUCUUAAAUAAUGCUGCUUGUUCGCGAAACCUGCUGGUGGAGGUGAAUUUUUGCUCGCGGAUAUCCGCACCCAAGUUUCAGGUACAAACGCGAACCGCACAAACGACUUUUUAUUAUCUUUUACUUUCUUCGCAAAAAGAAAAUGUCUGGUACGUACGAUUCAACGAAUUAUACUUAUGAUUUUCUCUUCAAGUUUUUGUAUACUUGUUUUUUAUACGUUUUUCUUUUACCUCGUUUCUUUCGUUUAUAAUAUAACGAUAUAUAAUAAUGAUUAGAUAUUAUUAUUAUUAAAGAAAAAUUAUUCAACAUUAUUUUUUAUCUAUCUAGAAACAAGAAAGUAAGAAACAUAAAUUAUUUAUUAGAUAAUAUUUAUAUACGAGAAUAUUUUUCAAAACAAAAUUCGUAUGGUAGUCAUUUGAUUUUCGUCCCUUUGAGUUGAAUCUGUAAACAAAGUAAAGGACGAACCACUCGUAUUCUCGAGGGCAGUUCAAAGACUUCAUCUGCUUUAAGCUUGUUGGUUACCAAAUAGCUUCUGGUUUCCACUUGAGAACGUCGGUCAUCUUCUAACUACCGGUUGUGGAAAAAUAUACGCUUCUUCGACGUCUUCCGAGCUUGCUGUUUCUAAUUCCGACAUCUUAUAAUAUCUCGUCCACAUCGUAAAAUGUUUAUUUAUUGUGAAAAAUAUUUAUUUUGCAUAUGUAAUUUCACGUUAUCGUAAAAUAUAUUUAUUCAACUUUAUAACGCGUUAUGUAAUAUACGAUAUAACAUUUAUGUAUAUUCUUCCUUUCAAAAUUACUUUCAUUUAGAUCAUAUUUAGAUCGAAUAGUUGAACUAUUUAUUCUAGAUAUAUUUAUACGAAACGAACUAUCUGAAUAAAAACGAGAAAACAUAUUCGAAUGUAUUUACAAUUAACUUACGAUUGUUCCGAUAGCAAAAUGUAACUUAUAUCAAUUUUAAAUGAAAGCAAUAUGAAUAGGAGUAUCGAGUAGUUGUAUACACUAGCACCGAAAAUGGAGGGUUAGUUACGAACAAUAGGACGAAAUGAAUCUCGGU